CCCGCGGGCUCCCGGGUGCAUCGUGCCCACCGUCCCUGGCCCGUCGCCUGGCUGAGGGACGGGGGGACCCCUGCCCUGCCCGGCGCCCUCCCCGCCCCGGGGUGCGGGGUGCCCGGUCAGCCUCCCCUGGAAGGACUGGGUGCCAUAGCCCACCCCGGGGACCCUGGUGGCCUCGGAGUGACCUGGAGAACAAGGACGGUUUUUCUUUCACCCCCCAAAUUGGUAGCAGGCGGCGCUUUUCAAGGCUCCGGUGUAAAUGGUAUGCAUUAAUAUUUAAUAGCCGCCUCUUUGUGUAAUUGACGGGGAAGCUAGAAUUGAGACCCGGUAGCCGUGACGAAGGUCUCGUUUGGUUCAGCAUUUUGGGAUACAGCGUGCUCCUGUUGGAGCUGCCUUGUAGACUGUCACCUGGAAUUCUGGAAUUUGCAAAGGGCUGUAGAAUACCUCUCUAGUUCAGUCCCUUCAGCCGCAUGGGUGUCAGUUCUCCUGAUUGUCGCUGUCCCCUCUGCUUCCUACAAGUUGUGCGUUUUGUUCCUUUACUGACUUGUCUAGGGUGAGGGUAGAAGACAGGCAGGGGGAACAUUUCCCCAGGUUUUCGUGUUUGCAGGCUUAGCUCCCGAGUCAUUUCCAUGAGAAAUUUUUUCCGUAUUCUUGAAAUGUGAGGUGUUGAAAUUUAGCCUGUAAGAUGGCUAAAUUUUAAAAUUUAGGUAUCAGGUGUCUCAAGACUAUUUGUGUCAUGUAGCUGAAAAAACAAAGGAGACAAAGAAGUCGAAUCUUUUUUGACGGGGCCCACAUUGAAUAGGACUGUUGACAUAGAAAUAAAUUCCUGACUUUUCAUGAACUGCUGCUGGUCUAGAAUAUGUGAUGCUUGUCACUCUUUAAAGUUAUAUGGAGCUGGUUGAAAAUUAGCUUUUACCUUUGUUUUUAACGUGAUGGAAAGCAACCAUUGCAGAUGAGCCUGGGUUGAUUCAGGGUCCUAUUACUGCUAGCCUAAGAUCUUCAGUUGCUUCAUAAUCUGCAGACUCAGUUUCUUCAUCUUUAAAAUGGAUAUUCGAGAAGUAAUAACGCCAAAUUUUUAAGGUUGUGGGGAGGACUGAAUGAGAUAACGUAUUUAAAGUGGUUAACAACACCAUAGAUUUUUGUGAUGGGCUUAACUGGAUUAAAAGAUAUUUAUGAGCAGAACUCUUUUUUAAAAAAUGGAAUUAGUGCUCUACGUAUGUGAUAUUUGUAAGGUAGAGGUACGUUUUAGGAUCCAAAAGCAAAAUGAUUCCAGAAAAAUGUUUUUAAUUUACUAAUUUCAAUUAAUUACUGCUCAUGACUAAAUGAAAAUGAACUUAAGGCAGUAUGAUGGCAUUGAAAUGGAUUUUGUUUUAAAAUAAGACUUUCCAGACACUGUCAUUGUUUUAAUUUGGUGAAUUCCCUUCCACUACUCCUGUGUGUUUGAUAUUAGGUGAUUCUGUGUGUAGUGAGACAAUAAGUGGCAGUUUUGUUCAUUUCUUGUUCCUAAUUUGCACUGUCCCUAUGUUGCACCAUGGUCUUUGGGUGUGUGUGUUUAACCAUUAUUUUUAACCCUCCAUUGACUCCGGCUUGGAAGCCCUGCUGGCGCAGUAGUUAAGAGCUACGGCUGCUAACCAAAAGGUUGGCAGUUUGAAUCCACCAGGCGCUCCUUGGGAACCCUAUGGGGCAGUUCUGCUCUGUCCUACAUGGUCGCUAUGAGUCGGAAUUGACUUGACGGCAUUGGGUUUUGACACCAUCUCAUGUCGGGAGACUGAAUGUCCUUAGACAACCCAGAUUCCUCUGCCCCUCAUACUUCGAAGAGAUUGUUUUGUUAUGAGCUUAAUAGUUCAUAAAAUUGCAUCUAAUAUCAAAUUGUAUGAGCUUGAAAUGAAAAUAUUUUUCUUUUGGUGCUAUUGGAAUUUUUCAUGAAAGUCCUUUUCAGCUUGGGAAGAAAGCAGAAACAGAUUUUAAUACUGCUUACAUAAAUACUGAAUUUUCUAAAAUAACAAUAAAGAUUUCUGAGACACAUUUUGCCAUCCACCUACCAUGGCAGCAUUCAGUCAGCGCCGAUGGAGGGAAGAAGUGUCCAGAUAGACAUUGUGGUUGCCUUUGUUAUGUGUUUGAGGGUGUUAGGUAGGGAGACACUUGGCUCUACUAUGUCCUUCAUGAAUUACGGUGGCCUCCGAAGUGCUACGCGUUGAAAUUAGUUAUUUGCAGAUAAUGGACGUUGUGUUUUAGAGUUCCCCAUUUAAAAAGCAAACCUGAGACUCUCACAAGGCUUUACAUUUCCAGAAACAACUGAGAAUAGAGAUGGUGAGACAGACCUGUGUACCCCACACCCAAAUGGCAGUUUAAUGUUAGCUUGCUGCUCCUUAAUGGAGAACGGAGUCACAGCCAGGAACCUGUGUGUAGUGUGUGUGUGAGAGAGAGAGCCAUUCUCAAAGCAUUUUCGUACAAAUCCCAUUUCACCUGUCCCCUCUGCUCCGUAGUCUGAGAAGUAGAUGUUAGCACCAAUUUGUGGGUGAAAUAGCAGUGACUUUUAGAGACCUGCUCAAUGAGCUCUGCCAAGAUCACACGGUUGUAAAAGGCCAGGUGUUCUGCGCCUCCGGCGUGGCUUUCUGACUUAGCAGAAGUUCCUGCAAGGGAGAAAUCCAGAUACAAGGCUCUUCCUGCUACAAAACUUUCUCAAGGCUAUCUUUGAGCAUGAGUAAUUUUAAUAUUUUUAAAGGAAAAUCCAAAUGUUUAUUGAACUCUGGGAUGUACCCAGGGGUGGAUUAGCCAGUAAGCAAGGUACGCCCGGGCUUACCUGUGUUACUCACCUGUAGUGCACAAUUAAAUGUGGGUUUCACCACUGUGGCCCCUCGUGGUUCAGGCAGUCACUGAAUCUCCCUGGUCCUGACCUAGUGACACCCAGAAGGACCAUAACAUUAGUGUUGAAUCGUUCUCUCUUUUGGAAGAUUUUGAGAACGGGCUUCAGUGAAGUUUGCUUUUAACAUGAAAAACACACUUCUUCUCCGAAACACAUGGGGUUGCCUUGAGUCGGAAUUGGCAACAGCAGCUGGUUUUAUAUUUAAUGAGUUUUUACUACAGUGAUUAAAAUUAUAUCUUCAUGCCUGCUUUUAGGGCAGUUUCUUCAUAUCUUGAUUACUUUCCUGUGUUUUGAUAAGAAAACUUCCUAAGGAAAAUAAUAAUAGCUAACAUUUAUAGAGCAUUUACAUGGAUUAGGUGUGUUUCCAUACUCUGAUUAUCUCCUUAAAGAUCAGGAAAUGGACACAGAGCUGUUAGGUAAAUUGCCCAAGGGUUACACAGCUAGAAUGAGGCAAAGUCAAGAUGGAAAGCUGUACAGCCAGGCUCUAGAGCCAAUACUCUUUUUUUUUUUUUUAAUUAUACUUCAGAUGAAGGUUUCAGAACGAUCUAGCUUCUCAUUGAAUACUUAGUACACAUAUGCUUUGUGACAUUGGUUACCAACCCCUCGACACAUCAACACUUUCCUCUUCUCGACCUUGGGUUCCCUAUUACCAGCUUUCCUGUCCCCUCUUGCCUUCUGGUCCUUGCACCUGGGCUUUUGUGCCUCUUUAGCCUCUUUUUGUUUUAUGGACCUGUCUAAUCUUUGGCUGAAGGGUGAACCUCAGGAGUGACUUCAUUACUGAGCUAGAAGGGUGUUCGGGGGCUGUACUCUAGGGGUGUCUCCAGUCUCUGUCAGGCCAAUAAGUCUGGUCUUUUUCUGUGAGUUAGAAUUUUGUUCUACAUUUUUCUCUAGCUCUGUCUGGGACCCUCUAUUGUGAUCCCUAUCAGGGCAGUUGGUGGUGGUAGCCGGGCACCAUCUAGUUGUGCCGGACUCGGACUGGUGGAGUCUUUGGUAGUUGUGGUUCAUUAGUCCUUUGGACUAAUCUGUCCCUUGUGUCUUUGGUUUUCUUCAUUCUCCUUUCCUCCAGAUGGGGUAAGACCAGUGGAGCAUCUUAGGUGGCCUCUCACAAGCUUUUAAGACCCUAGACGCUAGCCACUAAAGUAGAAUGUAGAACAUUUUCUUUAUACACUAUGUUAUGCCAGUUGAGUUAGAUGUUCCCUGAGACCAUGGUCCCCACAGCCCUCAGCCCAGUAACUCGGUCCCUCAGGGAGUUUGGAUGUGUUUGUGGAGCUUCCAUGACCUUGCCUUGGACAGGAUGUCAGAGCCAGUCCUCUUAACCUGUACUGCUAGAGUAUCUCCCUAAAGGAAAGGAAAGCUUCCUUAGUAGGAAAAGUAAGAGGAUGCUUUACAGUUACUCACAGAUUUUAUCUGGUUCUCCCAAGAGUAUCUAUUUCAGUACCAAAAAAGCUCAUUGAUUUAGGUUAAUUGAUUUCAUUGUCUAAUGAAACAUAUUUGUAAUCCUGUUCCCAGUGCAGUUCGUGUCUCAUAGAUAGGACGUCAGUAUAACUUUCUGAAUUGAGGUUAUUGUGAAUUAAGGAAAUGGAGCCCUGGUAGCGCAGUGGUUAAGAGCUCAAUUGCUAACCAAAAGGUCAUCAGUUCGAAUCCACCAGCCACUCCUUGGAAACCCUAUGGGGCAGCUCUACUCUGUCUUACAUAGAGUCACUGUGAGUUGGAAUUGACUGGAGAGCAGUGGGUUUGGUUUUUGGUUUAGUGUCCUCAUCUACUAACCUGAAGAUUGGUGGUUCCAACCUCUCCCCCAGCCCCCAGGCGCGCUGUGAAAGAAGGGCCUGGAGAUCUGCUUCCACAAAGAUUACAGCAAAGAAAAUCUUAUGGAGCACUUCUACUCUGUAGCAUGUGGGGUCCCCAUGAAUUAGAAUCCGCUCAGUGGCAGCAGGGUUAGUUGGCCCUUUGGCAAGUCAUUUAAGCCUCAUAUUUCUUAUCCGUAAAUUAAGCUAUUUGGAUUUAGUGAUUUCCGAAGUCUUGUCUGAGCUGACGUUCCAUAAAUUUUUUUAUGUGACUCCAAAAUUUGGGAGUUAUUAAACAUUUUAAAAUAAAUUUUUUGAAGACACAUUGCAGUUGGUGUAAAAUAUUUCCUUGUAGAUGUAAGCUGUUGGAUUCCAGCCAGGGAAGAAAUGCAGGCUCUGUUCAGAGUCAUGUGGCAUCCUGUUAUCUUGUAAUGGCUGGGGUCAGCAGACUUGUCUGUAAAGAGCCAGGUAGUAAGUCGUUUAGGCUUUGUGAGCCAUGCAGUCUCUGUGACAGCUAGUCAGCUCUAUCCUUGUAGCCCCAAAACAGCCAUAGACAAUACGUAAAUGAAUGAGCGUGGUGGUAUUUCAGUAAAACUUUAUUUACAAAAACAGGCGACACCCUAGAAUUGGCUUGUGUGCUGAAGUUUGUGGACCUGCUUUAGGUUAUUAUGGGCAUCAGCUUUUAUCACUUAGCAAAGAUGCCAGUUAAUAGAGGUUUCUGGUUCAUGGAAUAUGGUGUUUGGCGCAUAACAGGCACUCAGUAGGUAAAGGAGCCCUGGUGGCGCAGCGGUUAAGAGUUUGACUGCUAACCAAAGGGUCGGCAGUUGGAGUCCACCAGCCACUCCUUGGAAACCCUGUGGGGCAGUUCUACUCUGUCAGUAAAUAAACAUCGGAUGAAUGAUGGACAGCGUUUACUUAAAGUAUCGUAGUCUGAAUAUGGGUUUAAGAAGCGUUAAGAGGAGUUCAUAAUAUUUCCCUCAAUGCACCCAUCAAAAACAGAAAACAGAGCCAGAAGUAGCACAGAUGUAGUUCAGUAGAGUGAUAAUUCAGCUGACGAGAGGCCCGAAUGAGAAGAAACGUCAGCAACAGCACUUUGAAAGGAACCUUGAAUUGGGAACAAGAAAGGACCCGUGUUCUGCAUGGGGCGCUGUACUAGUGAGUGAGUGACCCUGGGCUAAUCUUUUUUGUUUGGGCUUUCUUUUCUUUAUUUGUAAAAUCAGGCCAGUGGCUGUCAGAAGGACCUUACAGAUUACUUCUUUAUUCAUUUGUUCAUCAGAUAUUUAUUAGAACCAUGUUUUGCGUAAAAUGCUGUGCUGAGUCAUUUGGGGAAAACAGGGCUGACAAAGACCCAGUCCCUGCCCUCCAGGAGCUUGUAAACUCCCGUGAGGAAGAGAGCCAAAGGAAUGAAAAUCACAUAGAUCAGAUUUUGUGGAAAAGAUGGCAUCAGAGUAGAAUUUUGCUAAGUAAGGUGAGGAGAACACUGCGGGCUGAGGGAACGUGUUACAGUAGCUAAAACCUGGUGAAAAGGACCGAGCGUCUCAGGUGUGGUGGAAGGAGUCCUGGCCUAGAGGCCCAAGACCUGGGAGUCAGCCUUUUUCUUGCCAUUGGAUACUGUGGGAUUAUUGGCAAAUUGCAGCCUCUGACCUCUAAACUGAGGUUCUUGCAUACUUUAUGAGAUUAAAAGACUGAAAGAAAUUAAGUCUGAAACUCUUUCUUCUUAAAACUGGAAAUCGCUGUUUUAAAUGAUAAAAGUAAUAUGUGGUUCUUGCCAGAGAGGGAGAGAAAAAACAUAGAAAUGAAGGAGGAUAAGUGAAAAUAAUGCACGAGUCUGCCACCUGGAGACAAUCAGUGUCUGUGUUCAGACCUUUUCUGUGUGUAUGUUUGUUUUUUAAAUAAAAACAGCCUCGUAUGUUAACGCAGUAUGUAGAUUUGUCCCUUUUUUGGUUGACUAGUGUAUAUGGCAUAUAAUUCAUGGGUAGACAGAUUUUUUUUUUUUUAACGUUAUAGAUAAUACUGUGAAACACUUCUUUUUACACCUUGUUUUCCAUUUGUCCAGUACUCAGGACCAAUUCUUAGAAGUGGAAUUACUGGGUCAAAAGCAUAUAAAUCUUUCUAUAUAGUCCCCCCCGUCCGUUUGUCAUAGUGUGGUGGCUUGUGUGUUGCUAUGAUGUUUGAAGCUAUACCACUGGGAUUUCAAAUACCAGCAGAGUCACCAAUGGUGGAUAGAUGUCAGUAUAACUUCCAGACUAAGACACACUAGGAAGAAAGGCCUAGCAAGCUACACCCAGAAAUGAGCCAGUGGAACCCUACUGAGGGAGCUCCCUGUGAGUCGGAGCUGACCUGACGGCCGCUAACAACAGUAAUAUAUAUUGUGAGUCUUCAAGAAAAUUUGUACCAUUUUCUGUUUUCUCCGUCAGUAUGUUAAGAGUAGUGUUUGUCUAGCACCAUUGCCAGUACUAAAUAUUAUUCAUUUUAAUCUUUGGUAGGUUAAAAAUUGGCAUCUUAAUUUAAAGACAGUCUGACUGUAGAAUACCAAAACCAGACCAAAUUCACUGCAGUUGAGUCGAUUCCAACUCAUGGUGACCCCACGGGACAGGAUAGAACUACCCCGUCGGGUUUCCAAGGAUGUAGAUCUUCGUGGAAGCAGACUGCCACACCUUUCUCCCACUGAGCGGCUGGUGGGUUCAAACCACUGAUCUUUUAGUUCGCAGCUGAGCACUUAACCACUGUGCCACCAAGGCCUUGGUAAAUGUUUAUUGAAUUAAAUUCAGUGAUUUUUAGUUUAUGUCUAGUCGGUCUGUGAGAGUGAGGGAAUGAUAAAGGAUAAUGAAUUCCAGUUUUUAUCGGAAUGUGUCUGCUAAAUGUUGCUAACCAGAGGUGAAGCUUUGGCCCACGGAAGAGAUGGGAGAAUUGCGCAUGGUGCAUAUUACUUCUAUUGGGUGCUCUACCAGAUGUUAGAUACUAGGUGGCAAGCGUGAGGGUUUUCAGCCCCGGGUCACAUAGCUGAGCUAGGAUUGAAAAUCAGGUUUGUCUGACUCCAAAGGGCAUCACCUUUCCCCUGUCCAGGCACUCCUUGACGUACUGGAGGGAUGUAGUCAUAAACAGUUACUUAGAAUCAUCAGGGUGCAGCUGCUGCUGCUGCUGAACGGCCUCUCCUUGCUCUUGCCCGCUGAGAAGCGCUCUGAGAAGGGGGAGCAGACCCAACACUCCCCUUCCCAGCACUCCAGAUGAUGAACCAAAGGCUGUGCAGAAGACCUGAGCAUAAAAAUAGUUCAGUGGAGAACCGUCAUAUCUCUGGUUGCCAGAGCGUUCAGAUGAAAUAGGAUGACUUAGUUUACGCCGCGCAAGGCCAGAUAAAAACUGUCAACUUUACAGUGUCGAUUCCUUGUUUGGACGAGGAAGGGACGUGGCGAGUGGAAGUCCCUCUGCCCUGCUUGUCAUGAAGCUGUGGACUGUAACGUCACCAGCAGAGGUCUAGAAAUGUGAAUGAGAGCCCUGCAUGCAGAGCAGGCGUUGGGUGCACAAAUGCUUGCAAAGCAGGAAGAGUUCAGUGCUUCAGCCUUCCACGACAGGAGAGGAAAGUCAGGGGAAGAGGAGGGAGAGUACUCACUGCUUCUUAGCUCUACCUGUUGUCAUCCCCGUUUAUCUGAAGCUAGGUGGAGAUACAGAAGCUGCUCCAGGAACAACAGGGAGUGGUGUCAUGUCAUUUCUGGGCUCUUGGUCCAAAUCCUGGCCUUUGUUCAACAAGCUGCAUAAUCUCUCAGAUAAUACUGCUCACCUUUUAGGAUUAUUGUGAGGAUUAGAUGAGAGAAUGUUUGUAAAACACUUAUAACAGUGGCAUAUGCUGGAAAUGUGCAAUAAAAGGUAGCAGUUAUUAAUGUAUUGUGUGUAGCUAGGCAUUUUGAUUCGACCACUUAUUUUCACAUGAUUCGUGUUUUUAUUUCAUCAACGUUUAUCAGACGACAUACUGUGUUGGGCAAAUCUGCAAAAGACCUCUUUAAAGUGUUAAAAAAAAAAAAAAAGCAAAGGUGUCACCUUGAGGGUAAAGGUGCGCUUGACCCAAGCCAUGGUAUUUUCAGUUGCCUUGUGUGCAUGCAAAAGCUGGACAAUGAAUGAGGAAGACCAGAGAAGAAUUGGUGCCUUUGAACUGUUAUUUUAGUGAAGAAUAUUGCAUAUACCGUGGGCUUCCAGAGGAUUGAGCUGAUCUGUCUUGGAAGAAGUACAGCCAGAAUGCUUCUUAGAAGUGAGGCUGGUGAGACUGUCUCACUUACUGUGGACAUGUUUUCAGGAGGGACGUCUCUUUCAGGAGAAGGACAUCAUGCUGGGUAAAGUAGAGGGUCGGCGAAGAAAAGGAGGACCCUCGAGAUGGACCGACACAGUGGCUGCAACAAUGGGCUGAAACAUAGCGACAAUUGUGAGGAUCGAGCAGGACCGGGCAGUGUUUCGUUCUGUUGUGCACAGGAUUGCUGUGAGUCAGAAUCGACUCCACGGCGCCUAACAACAACAGCAACAUGUUUUUAUGUUACCUUUUUAAAACACAAAAUGUUUUAAAUGUCUUAUAAAGGAGUUUUAUUUCUAGCGUGUCAUUGAGUAAAUCGUAACGCGUGAUAAUGGUGGUAGAGCCUUCAGUUAUCUCCCUAGAGAUUUUGUCUGACUCCCCUUCAUUCAGAAGGCGGAGAGCAAACAGGAUUACUUUCCUGGGUUCACACAGCUUUUGGUGACAUGGUUGCUGUAAGAAAUCAUGUCUCUAAAUCUUUGCCUUUUUAAUCUGUUAAUUAAACUGUUACAAAGUUAGCGGACAUUACAUCCCGCUGUUGAAUCAGAGAUCUGUUGGGGAGAAGAGACAGUAUCAUGAAUGCUGCUUUAUUUCUACACUGUGGUGAGGACUUUGUGUGGGGUUUAAAGAGAUUUUCUUUUGUAAUCAAUUUGGUUUUUUUUUUUAAUUGUGGUAAAUUUAUGUGCAACAAAUUUUUUGCCGUUUCAGCCUUCUUCACAUGUACAGUCCCCUGCUAUUAUGUUUUUCAUGUUGUUCAACCAUCAUCAUCUGUUUCUAAACAAUUUAGUUUUAAGAUGGAGCUGAGAAGAAGUGAGAAAUGGUGGUCUUCGUCGUUUAAUGGUGAAACAGAAGUUCUGUCGCGUGCUUGUGUCCUGUACUUGGCUCACAGGGAAUGACUAAUUUGGACAAGGCCCAGACAAUCGGUUGGAGUACAGGAUUAUUUGCUGUGGAGAAUUUCACUGUAGCCAGAUCAACAAAUCUUUCUUCCUCUGGUCAAUCCAUUAGGACAGGUGGCUGUUUUUGUGUGGCCAGCGAGCUAAAAAUGGUUUUUUACAUUUUUAAAGAGUUGGGGGGCGGGUGGGGAACAAAUAUGUGACAGACACCUUAUGGGGCCUUGCAAAGCCUAAAAUAUUUUACUGUCUAGUCCUUCACAGAAAGUUUCCCAGCCCUUGCACUGUUGUUAGGUGCCGUCGAGUCCGUUCCGAUUCAGCGACCUUACAUAGAGCAGAACAAAACAUUGCCCGGUCCUGCACCAUCCUCACAGUCCUUGCCGCAUUCCCCGUGUUUCCUUAUUUUAGUCUGGAAUCUCUGCUGAAACCUGUCCACCAUGGGUGACUGCUGGUAUUUGAAAUACCUUUGGCAUAGUUUCCAGCAUCAUGGCAACACACAGGCCACCACAGUACAACAAAUGAACAGAUCUCUAACUGUGUGGCUGGCAGGCUUAAAGGCGGUAUGUCGGUCUCACUGCCAGCACAGGCCAAGGAGCUGAAGAUACAGCGUUCCUGUGUUUGCAGAAGACAGGUAGAUGAGUUUCCAGCAUUGUUUGGGAGCCACAUAGUCCCCAUUGCUUUGCCACUUGAAAGAUGUAUUAAUUGCACAGAGCGAACUAUCUAUGAGAUUACUUUUAUUUUACUCCUUAAACUCUUAGCUUCUGUGUUUUGUUUUAAAAAAAAACAUGGGAUUUAGUGACUUUUGUUUUUCAAAUGGUUUGGCCAUUAAAGAUGAUUUUCAGGUGUCUAUUUUUUUUUUUUUUAAUCAAUGCCGAAGGUUAGGCAACCUGAAUAUAAACAGUUUACCCUUUUAAUUGCACAGUAGAAUAAAGAGAGGGUUCAUGAUAAAUUUUUCUAAAUAUUUUCUAACAUAGUCUAGCUUGCCUAUGGGAAAGUUAAAGUCCAACAACUCAGUCUAAUGAGCGGGCAAGAUUUUCCUAAGUUUGGUGAAGGAGGUAAUGCGUUACAAGCUUACACUGCUAAUUGAUCUGUUAUUAAUUAGAGGUGGCCACUUGAAUUUUAUAGAUGUGAGUAAUGAAUUAUUUGAAUAGAUCCUGGUAAAGACCCAAGGCAAGCAGUUACAGAUGAGGUAUAGUUAUGAAAAUAGAGGCUGUGGCUGUGAUUAAGAAAUUUGAGUGUUGGUAAAGGAUCUUUUAUGCGUGGGACAUGGUUUCUGUCUUUUCUCGUCUGUAAUCUCCUUACAAAGCAAGGGCUUUAUAUCCUGCUUACUGUUACGGGAACCUGCUCUAAGAGUAUUUCUUGAAUGAAGGGGCAGACUUAACAGUGUGUGGUAGUCUGCUGGAAGAUAAGACAAGUAAGCUAACUACAACACAAUAUCCUUUGGGAGCACGAAGGAGAGGGUGCUGAGCUGGACAUUUGAAGUCAAAGAAGCUUCCUGGUGGGAACAGAAUUGAGGCCAGCAGGAGGAGCCCUUAGGGCUCUCCCAGAUGAGGAGGGGAUGGGAACUAUGCCAGGAGAAGUGACAGCAAAUUUGAAGAUCAAGUAGGGUGAGAGCGAGGUCCCUUUACAGCACUGGAACAACUUGUGGGGAUGACUGAUCCUCGCAUGUGGGGGGCGAGGCAUGGUGAGAGAUGAGCAGAAAGAUAAGGGACCUUCGUAAGCAAUGUUGGCCUCACAGUUUACCCUGUACUGCAAGAGCAGCAGAGAGCCCCUGACAUCCGAUGAGAAUUUUCAAACAUAAAGAAAAGUUGAAGGAACAGUUGACACUCACAUGCCCCAACCUAGAUGCUACAAUUAACAUUUAACUAUAUUUGCUUUAUCACGUCUGUAUCUCUCUGUGUGAUCCAUUUUCUUGACGCAUUUCAAAGUCAGUUGCAGGUAUCAGUACACUUCCUUCCCUCUAAAUACUCAGUAAGCAUGUCAUCAACUAGCAUUACCUGAAGCUGCUAACCAAGAUGUUGGCAGUUAAAAUCCGCCAGGCGCUCCUUGGAAACUCUAUGGGGCAGUUCUCCUCUGUCCUAUAGGGUCACCAUGAGUCGGAAUCGACUCGACGGCAGUGGGUUUUUUUAGUGGGUAUAAAACAUAAAAUAAUACUUGUGAAAAGUGUGCUUCUUAGUUCAAGUAGAUACACGAACCUAAAUGGGCAGCUCCCGUCCGGAGGCAGGGUGAGAAGGCAGAAGGGGACAGGAACUGGUUGGAUGGAUACAGGAAACCCGGGGUGGAAAGGGGGAGUGUGCAGUCACAUUAUGGGAAUUGCAAGUAGGGUCACAUAACAAUAUGUGUAUAAAUUUUUGUAUGAGAAACUUAACUUGAGCUGUAAACUUUCAUCUAAAGCACAAUUAAAAGAAAAAAGGUUAUGUGUCAGCUUGGCUAGGCCAUGAUUCUCAGUGGUGUGACAGUUAUGCAACGAUGCAAUCUGCAGUUAGGUGAUGAUGUCACUUGGCUGUUAUGUAGUGAUGCCGUCGCCCUCCAUCUUGUGAUCUGACAUCAUCCUGCAUUAUCACGUAACACUGAUUUUCUCAUAACUACCUGGUCUUUGGAGCCUAACUAUGUCAAUAAGUGAGGGGUGGAUUUAGAACCUUUGUCUUCAUCGAACUUUUAAACUUUUGAAACAGGUCUAUUUUCAAAUGUCCACAUUUGCUAUCAAGACAAAUCACACAGUGCACUUAGGUGUAGGGAAAGUAAAAGCUGCAGAAAAUAGUUGGUAUAAUUGAGGUGAGAGACCUAUGAAAAGAAAAUAUGAGUAUUCAAUAUUCAACCAACUGUAACUUCCAAACAUUAUUAAAUAUGACCAAUGACAGAGGAAAAAAGAGUAGUUGACAGCGAUUUUUCUCCCCAAAAUGUUUUGUUUCAGUAAGCAAAGUGCUGCUUCAGACAUUCGAGAACCUUCUCUGUGCCAGGCAUUGUUAUUCUUGGGAGUAAGAUAUUCUAUUUUUUUCCUCAUUCCACUUGGCCCUGAGAGCUGAGGGGAGCUGCAUUCUUGAGAAAUAUGACUUGGAUUCUGGCCAUGCUGCCACCAUUCCCUGUGAUUUUGGCUGUUUGGCCUCAGUUUCCUCAGCUGUAGUCAAAGAGGACCACACUAGAGCUCCUGAACAAGCCUCAGAUGCUGUUGGCGAGAUGCCUUUUACUCUCAAUCUGACCACUGCUAACUCAGUACCAGACGUGAGAGAUUUUGAAGGCACAGGGUAGGAAAAAAUCUCCAACUGCUAUGUUUAGCAUAUUGUAUUUAUUUGUCCAUAUGCUCUUUUCGUUUUCAAACUUCAUGUUCUAAAGUUUGUCUUAAAAUGGAUUCAUGGGUUCUGAAUGUUAAGAUACACAGUUACCAUCAUUUAAAAUCCCAGCAGAAAGGAGAUGACCAGUAUAGGGAACCACUUUAUUCCCAGGCCUUUGAGCGGAAUCAAGAGUAGGGUCCACCCGCCCCUCAGAGGAAGCCCGCAGAGAAGGAUGCAUUGCGUCAUUUCUCUCUCCUGAAAAUAGCAGUGACCCCUGGAGGCAGAAAUACCUUUUUUUUCUUAAGUGAGUCAUAAUACAAAAACAUUAAACAGUAUCGUCUCUGUCUUUUGUAUGUUGGAAAGAGCGUGCUUUGGAGUUAAAUUCAUAUGGAAUCAAAUCGUUUGCUGUCAUUUCCUACCUGUGUGACGUUGGAUACGGUGCUUCACUUGAGCAGUUCUGAGCCCCAGGAUCCAUCUGUUAGGUGGGGGUAAUCACUCCACCUUACAGUCGUGUUGGAGUUGCUGCUGGUUGAAUGCACAAGGUGGGCACUCUGAAAGUGUUUGCCACUGUUGCUAUAGAAACAGGUAGUAGCGAUUAAUAGUUCAGUUUGACUAAGGCGUGAGCAAAAGGAGGCGAAUUACAGCGGUUUAAUGUUUAUUAUAUGGAAAUACAUUGGCAUACUUGAUAUUGUGUUCUUUUUCUGUCCUGGCUUCUUAGUCCUUUGUAUUUCAAACCCAUUAAUUCCCAAUAAAGUCUUAAAAUAUCCCCAGAAUGGGUUGUCGUUGUUGUUAGCUGCCAAUGAGUUGGCGCUCAACUCAUGAAGGCCCCAUAUGACAGAGUAGAACUGCUCCAUACGGUUUUCUUGCCUGUACUCUUUACAGGAGCAGAUUGCCAGGUUUUCUUUCACAAAUCCACUGGGUUGGUUCAAACUUACAACCUUUAUUUAUUCAUUUCAUUGUAUUUUAGAUGAAGGGUUACAGAACAAACUAGCUUCUUAUUAAACAGUACACACGUCGUUUUAUGACAUUCGUUAACAACCCCAGGACAUGUCAACACUCUCCUUUCUCAACCUUGGGUUCCCUGUUACCAGCUUUCCUGUCCCCUCCUGCCUUCUUGUCCUUGCCCCUCGGCUGGUGUACGAUUUAGUCUCAUUUUUUUUAUGGGCGCGUCUAAUCUUUGGUUGAAGGGUGAACCUCAGGAGUGACUUCAUUGCUGAGCUAAAAGGGUGUCUGGGGGCCAUACUCUCAGGGGUUCUCCAGUCUGUCAGGCCAGCAAGUCUGGUCUUUCUUUUUGUGUUAGAGUUUUGUCCUACAUUUUUCUCCAGCUCUGACUGACAACCUUUAGCUAAGCAGCCAAUGGCAAACCGCUUGCAUUAUCCAGGCUCCUUCCAAAGUGGGUAAGGGGACAAAAUUUGUGUCCUUCUCUUAGGGAUUUGUGAAACUUAGGUUAAUAUUUAUACGGCACUGAAAUUAAUAGUCCUUUUUGUUAUGUAAGCACCCUGGUGGAACAGUGGUUAAGAUCACCGGCUGCUAACCAAAAGGUCAGUAGUUCCAAUCUACCAGCCACUCCUUGGAAACCAUUGGGGCAGUUCUACUCUGUCCUAUACUAACUCGAUGGCAAUGGGUUUUGGGUUUGGCUACGUAAGACAAGAUCUGUCAGUGGCUGCCCUAUAGGGAGUUUAGGAAUAUACAUUUUGCUACGAAAGGAGCAAAAUUUAUAAGCACUUUAGUGAUGGGCACUUUCCAGGCACUGGGGACGCAGCAAUGAGCAAAGCAGACAGACAGAAUGCUUGUUCUCUGGAUUGUGCGUCUGAGAGUGGGGGAGAGACUAAGUAAAAUACGUAUUAUGUUUGUAAGUUCAGUGGAGAAAAAGAAAAUGAGGAGUGAGGAGUAUUGGAAAGUUGUCAUUUUAAGUGAGGUGGUCAGGAAAGGCCUGCUGGCAGGGGUGAUAUUUGAGUGAGGGGGUAAGGAGGUCCCCCAGAGUCGCCUCAGAGGAAAGGCCUUCCCCAGCUUCCUCAUCCUUCCCCCCGACCAGCUCAGCCCUCGAGUCCAGCUGUCCUACCCCCACUGCCAGGACCCUAGUUCAGGCCUGCCUCCUUUCUUUCUAGGGCUCCCGUGAUAGCUCAUUGUCUAGUCUCCUGACUGCCGACUGACCCACUCAGUCAUCUUCGCUUUUGCCAUGUCGGUCUUUCCAAAAUAACCUAAAAUCCGGCGGUGGACCCACAUAAUCUUUAUGAGAAAGUCUAACCUUUUCAGGCUGGUGUAAAACUCCCCUCACGGCUUCCCUUCCCUUUUCAUUCUCACCUUCUGCCGCUUUUUCUCCACACAUCCUAAUUUCAUGCAUUCUGAGUUAUUUGUCCGUCCCAGAAGGACACUCCUUUGCCUUCUGGCCUCUCCCCGUGCCUGCUUUCCUAGAAUGACUAACUCUCCAUGGUCCGUUAGCGUUACAAGAUUUGGCUAAAGUGUUACCUUCUCAGCAAAGGCCUUGCUGACAUCCAGGCAAAACCAGGCUCUUCCUCCUCUGGGCUGGCUUCCUGAUUUGUUGCAUCUCUCUUGUUUUUGUUGUUAGCUGCUGUUUGAGUUGGCCCCUGGCCACCCCAUGCACAGCAGGAUAAAGCACUGCCUGGUCCUGGGCCGUCCCCACGAUCUGUUGCAGAGGUUGCGGAUUGGACCAUUGUGAUCCAUGGGCUGAUUGUUGAAAGUAGAUCACCAGGCCUUUUUUCCUAGUCUUAGUCUGGAAGCUCCACUGAAACCUGUUGAGCAUCAUAGCACCCAAGCCCCCACCGACAGAUGGGUGGUGGCUGUGCAGGAGGCACAUUUGUUAGGAAAGGAACCUGGGUCUGCCGCAUGGAAGACGAGAAUUCUGCCACUGACCCGUCACUGCCCCCGUUGUGUAUCUAGUGUAGUCCUGGUAACAGUACCUUGGAGUUAUCUCCUGUUGGUCUUCCCUCUCCAGCUGAUGGGCUCCUGGAGGACAACAGCUUUGACUACGGGUCUUUGUAUCUCUGCUGCUUGGCCUAAUGCAGCAAACUCCUAAUGCCCCCGUUCUCGCAGUGUGGUCCCUGAACUAGGAGCCUCAGCGUCUCUGUGGGCUUGUUAGGACCCCCACCCCAGCUUUACCAAGUCAGAAACCCCGGAGGUGGGGCCCAGCAGUCGAGUGUUCUGACAAGUUUAACAAGUGGUUUGAGGACCACUAGCCCAGGGAACGAGUGAUGGACAGACAGCAUUCACUCAGGAGUGAACUGUGGUUUCCUGGUAAGUGAGGAAGAAGCCUUCCACCUGUCUCCAGUCCUUAGAAAAGGAAGCAGCCAGGCUCCAGAAUUUAAAAUAGUGGGCGUUUGUAGCUAAGGGUGACAGUAUUUUUGAUGUCAUGAAUUUGUUCUGAAAAUCUAUGGUGAGUCCAUUGACUUAAAUCUUUACAAUUAGAAGGUAGGUAAGCUAAAAGGAGCGCACAAACUUGCUAUUUUAAAAAUCGCCUAUAAUAGCUCUGUCAGAGAGGACAGUUACUGUUGCUAUUUUUAUUCACCUGUUUAUGCUUUGAGAUUUGUUAUGUGUGUAUAUUUUUUACUCAGAAACCUUUUAUUUGAGACAUUUGAAAUAAAAAAUUAGUUGACAUAAACUGUUUUUUUUAUUAACUUUUAUUGAGCUUCAAGUGAACAUUUACAAAUCAAGUCAGUCUAUCACAUAUAAGUUUAUAUACAUCUUACUUCUUACUCCCACUUGCUCUCCUCCUAAUGAGUCAGCCCUUCCAGUCUCUCCUUUCGUGACAAUUUUGCCAGCUUCCAACUCUCUCUAUCCUCCCAUCCCCCCUCCAGACAGGAGAUGCCAACACAGUCUCAAGUGUCCACCUGAUAUAAUUAGCUCACUCUUCAUCAGCAUCACUCUCCUACCCACUGUCCAGUCCCUUUCAUGUCUGAUGAAUUGUCUUCGGGGAUGGUUCCUGUCCUGUGCCAACAGAAGGUUUGGGGACCAUGACCGCCGGGAUUCCUCUAGUCACUAAACUCAAUUUUUUUGACCUUUAUAUAGGCAUCUCUUCACUUUCUAACGUCUAAGACAGGAAUUCAUGAAAUAAGAUAAAUCAUGGGCCAUAUUACAUGCAGUUUUACCUGACUGCUGCCAAUUUUUUAAACUUAGGAGGCUGGUCACUUGAUUUUUGCUUAUAAUACAUAAUUUUGUUCCUGUGAGCUAAUCAGAAUUCAGUUGGUGUCAUGUUAACUUAAAGGACUUGUCGGGAAAGUAGUCUGCCAUAAGAAUAAAGACAACAAGAAAUCUUGAUUCUUUCCUUUCUGGUUUCUAGAACCUUUCUGGUGCUAGACCAGACUUUUUCAUAAAGAGAAAGCUUUCAUAGCUCCACUCCCGUUACAACGUCUAAUACACCUGCGUCUACUGAGGUAAAGAUAUAUUUUUUUAAGAGUUCUUGCAUAGUUAGAAAACCAAAACAAAUUAUAAAUUAAAUGCCAUAAAAUAUAGAACUGAUGAAAUUCAAAUUAGGGAUCUUAACAUAAGGAUGUUGUUUUCCUGAAAUUAAAUGCCAGUGCUGGGUUUAACAGUAGCCAGAAAUAUUUAUGUAUUUGCUUUUUCACUAGCUAACUUUAUUAUUUCCACGUUGGGUGUGACGGGUCAUCGUGGAAAUUAGCAUCAUCAUAGACAUUGCUGUUUUUGGCCCAGUCGGUUAUUUUGAUGGCCGGUUUAAUAGUGCAUUGUGAAAGUACCAAGAAGUAACCGCUCACUGAACAACGAACUUAAGGCUGCACUCACUGCUGUGAAGCAUUGGAAAAUGGCUCAUGAAAACAACCAGCCUGCCCAGUACACUUGAAUGUGGAACUGAACUGCCCUGGCGCACGUCUGAGUUUUGCAUGUCUGUAUACCACUCUCUGCUCUGUUCUGCCUGCGUCACUUGGCCUCAACCUGGCACCAGUAGAUUUAUAAACUCCACCCGUGCCAGCACUAGCUGCAGUGAUGGUCAUUAUGAAGACUCAAUUUUUUUUCAGCUUAACAUGAAAAUGAAAACAAUUUUCAAUUCUCAGAGAACUCAUGGACCUUCAGGAAUCUGAGAAACUCAGAUCCAAGAAACUCAGCUUUAUUAUCUCUAAGUACUUUUUUACCAUAAAUAUAGUAUUAGUAACAACUAGAUCACAAAUCCAUGAAGCAAUAACAUUUAAAUAAAUUCGCAGUAUAAAAAAGCCCUCAACACAAGUUUUAAAACUUUGGCUAAGUUUAAAUCAGACCAUUUCCUGCUGUGAAUAUUUUUUAAAUCUACUUUGUAUUUUUGUCUGUCCUACAUUCGUUCUGCCCUCUUCUUGCCCAGUGUACUUGCCCACUCCCACUCCUCUGCCCUCUUCUGUGUUUUUACAGCUUCGUGUUUUUGGAGCCCUGGUGGCGCAGUGGUUAAGUGUUUGGCUAUUAACUAAAAAGUCAGCAGUUUGAAUCCACCAGCCGUUCCUUGGAAACCCUAUGGGACAGUUCUGCUCUGUCCUGUAGGGGUCGCUAUGGGUCAGAAUUGAUUCAGUGGCAACAGUUUUUUUUUUUUUAUGCUUUUGACGAGGCUACUACAGUCACAAUUCCCUGCCAUCAUCAGCUUUGAUGUGCCAUCCAUCCUCCAUGGUUGGCCCAUGGGUGCACUUAGGGUCCACACCAGGCCAGUGAAGAGCCUUCUUCCUCAGAAGUUAAACUAGGAUGAUAUAGGAGUAGAGCUUCUUGUAGCUAUGGUUUCCCACUUUUCCUCCCCUACCAAAAAAAAAAAAAAAGUUUCUUCCCAUUGAGUCAA